rnacentral:ncRNA from 2 species
AAAUUGAGCUAGGGGUGUCCGACCAAAGGGCUGAGAACAAACCCUUAGAACCUGAGUCCGGGUAAUACCGGCGGAGGGAAGCUGUUAUUUGAGGAC